rnacentral:rRNA from 1 species
AUGGAGAAGAUGAGCUCGUCGGUGCAGUCCUGGGUGGACCAGCACAAGCUCGCCACCGUCGGGGCGAUGUGGACGACGGCGGUUGGCGCCUCGGUGGCGUGCGGCCGGCGGCGGGGCAAGGCGGCGGGGUUCACGGUCGCUGCCGCGCUCGGCGGAGCGGCGCUGGCGCACCACUACUACGCCGCGAAACGGAGGGAGGAGGAGGCGAGGUGCUUCGAGCUGGACUUCUACUCGCAGCUGCCGGCGGCCACCGGCGAAGACGGCCAGGAGAACGAGCGGUGGACCUACUAG